rnacentral:rRNA from 1 species
CUACGGGUGGCACCAGUGAGGAAUAUUGCACAAUGGGGGAAACCCUGAUGCAGCAACGCCGCGUGGAGGAUGACGCAUUUCGGUGUGUAAACUCCUUUUAUCAGAGAAGAAAAUAACGGUAUCUGAUGAAUAAGCUCCGGCUAACUCCGUGCCAGGCAGCCGGGUAAUACGGAGGGAGCAAGCGUUAUUCGGAAUCACUGGGCGUAAAGGACGCGUAGGCGGGUUUUUAAGUCAGGUGUGAAAUCUGAUGGCUCAACCAUAGAACUGCACUUGAAACUGGGGACCUAGAGUAUGGAAGGGGCAGGUGGAAUUAGUGGUGUAGGGGUAAAAUCCGUAGAUAUCACUAGGAAUACCGAAAGCGAAGGCGACCUGCUGGGACAUUACUGACGCUGAGGCGUGAAAGCGUGGGGAGCAAACAGGAUUAGAUACCCGAGUAGUC